rnacentral:rRNA from 1 species
UACAGAGGUCUCAAGCGUUUGUUCGGAUUCAUUGGGCGUAAAGGGUGCGUAGGUGGCGCCGUAAGUCAGGUGUGAAAUUUCGGAGCUUAACUCCGAAACUGCAUUUGAUACUGCGGUGCUUGAGGACUGGAGAGGAGACUGGAAUUUAUGGUGUAGCAGUGAAAUGCGUAGAUAUCGUAAGGAAGACCAGUGGCGAAGGCGGGUCUCGUAGACAGUUCCUGA